GUACAUUAUUUUCUAUAUACUUGAAAUAUUUAAGUUUUUUAAUAGAAAAAAAAAAAAAAAGGUAGUCUAAUCCUUUUUCUUUUAUUACCAGCAUAAGGCAACAGGGCACACAAGAGUUUCUUACAGAGAAGGCAGCUCACAUCCUCCCCAGAGCCUGCAGCCUCCCUCUGAGGUAGGUACAGGGUGCAGGCUGUGCUGACACCUGCUCUGCAGCUGGGGAAACAAGGCCUGGAGCCCAGAGGACUGUCCCCAUAGCCCAGGACAGAGUUCUGUAGGGAGGGCCAGAGCCAAAGGUUGAAGUAUUUUGGAUCUGUUGGGUUAAAUAAACCAUAGUAACAUCAAUUUCACCUUUUCUUCUUCACUCCUAUGUGGCUACUAGAGAACUCAAGGGUGUCCAGGUCUUUCAUCCUGUGUCUGAUGGACAGCGCAAGUCUAGGGCCCAGCCCUGGACCCGCUGAUGCCGCAGCACACAAGGGAUUCUUGGCUGUGGUCACCCAGUCCACCUGGGUGAGUGAGGUGCAAUCACCCGGACUUCCCAAAUAUGUGACUGCCAUACCCUGAGCAGAAGAUACUAGAAGGCUAGAAGGCCUCAAGCAUGGUGCAGAGCAGAAGGGCAACAAGGGAGGAAGAUGGGGAACGCCACAGCUUAGCAGUUGCCCCAACCCCCCUUCCUCAGAGAGGUCUUUUAGCUUCAGUCCACAGUAAAGCCCAGUCUCCACCAUCCCUGGGUACGAUGGCCAGAAUCAGAAAUGACACAGAGGGACGGUGCUGUCCUCCCCCACACAGCAGCAACUUCAAACAACCUUUAGCAGCAACAACUACCCCCACAGGAGCCCAGACGCCAUUCCCUCCACUGCACACCCCUUGGAGGUUUCCAGAAGAUGACUGCAGCCCUGUCUCUCCACAGGAGGCUGCUGCUGGGUACCUGCCUGUCGCGACACCCCCAGGCGGACUCUGAUGUGUGGCUUUGCUCAUACACUUUUCAAGUGAAUCACUCCAAAUUCUGUGAGUAGGGCCACGACAAGGAAGUUGAAGUAGAAGAGGAGAAGGCAGAUGCCGUAGACUUUGCUCAGGUGGAAGCACUGCAGUGGGACGGCAACCAGGGAGAAGACGAGGCUGAGCCCCAGGGCACUGGCCAACACCCACACCAGCAAGCCAUCUGAUUCCAGCUGCAGGAGGAAAGAGAGGGGCUGGGUCAUUCACCAGCACAGGGUGUCCCCUGCUGCCAGUAGGUCACCUUAGACACAGCCGGCAGCUGCAGGGCCUGUACCCUGGGUGGGCAUGCCCCACCUGGAAGUUACCCAGAGGUGGACUCAGACACAGUAGGGAAAAGGAACCUUCUCUACCCCUUCAGUUCCACCUGCCUGGGUGCUUCUCUGAUAGCACAGGCAGCGAUUGAGCAUGUCUCUUUACAACAUGGCUUAUUGUAUAUUUGAAGGCCACUGUUGAGACUUGCUCAGAAAAAGAGGCUCCUUCCAAAAGCUACCUGGUCAUCAUGCAAAAGCUGUGACGGAGAUACACGAUAAGAUGAAAUGUUUUCAAGCAUGCCAACCCAACAUCCCUGCGGCAGCCUAUAGAUGGAGUACUCAUUUCACUUUCAAAGUUCCAAGGCUUCAGUGGACAAAGUAAUCGCAGGCAUUUAGAAGGGGAGCCUGAAGAUGUGAGUAACUGCUGCACUCUCAUACUAAACCUUGAACAGAUGAGGAGCCGCUUCUUGUGGAUGAAUGAAGAAAGUGGUUUCUUGAGAUAAAAUCUGCUCCUGGGGAAGACGCUGUGAAUGUUGUUGAAAUGACAACGAAGGAUUUAGAAUAUCAACUUAGUUGAUGAGGCAGGGUUGGAGAGGAUUGACUCCAAUUUUGAAAAGUUCCACUGUGGGUAAAAAGCUAUCAAACAGCAUGGCAUGCCAAAAGGAAGAGUCAAUCGAAGUGGCAUACUUCGUUGUUAAGAAACUGCCUCAGCCAUCCCAGUCCUUAGCAACCACCACCCUGAUGAGUCAGCAGCCAUCAACAGCAAGCCAAGACUCUCCACCAAGAGAAAGACUACAACUCACUGAAGGCUCAGAUUAUUAUUAUUUUUUAAAAAAGGCUAGCGGUCAAGUAUUGUUAAAGUAUGUACAUUAUUUUUGUAGACAUAAUGCUACUGGACACAUGUUUCCACUAUACUGUAGUCUAUUAUAACUUACAUGCACUGGGAAAUCAUCAAAGUCAUGUGACUUGCCUUGCUGCAGUGAUCUGAAACUGAACCCACAAUAUCUCCAAGCUAUGCCUGUGGAAGGGAACUUCAACAGUGAAAGGCUUAAAACUUUCCCCCUAAGAUCAAGAAUAAGACAAGGAUGCCCUCUUUCACCACUGCUCGAGUACAGUACUAGAACUUCUUGCCAGAACAAUUAGGAAAAAAAAGACAAAAAGGUAUCUAAAUUGGAAAUUUACAGAUAACAUGAUCUUAUAUAUAGAAAACCCAAAGAAAUCCACAAGAAAACUAUUAUAGCUAAUAAAUGAACGCAGCAGGGUGAUAGGGUACAAUAUCAACACUAGCAAAAGACAUCCCAUGUUCCUGGAUCAGGCAAGUUACCCAUGGUUAUGUCAAAGUAUAUAAAAACUUAAUGCCAUGUCUAUUAAAAUUGCCCCAGCUUUUUUUUUGAAAAACCAAUCCUCAAGUUUAUAUAGAACUGCAUGGGCCCCAAAUAUGCAAAACAAUCUUGAAAAAGAACAGGUAGGAGGACUCGUACUUCCUGACUUCGAACUGUAUUACAGUGCAACAGUAAUCAAAACUGGUGUUGGCACAAAGAUGGGCAAAUCUAUUCCACUUCUAGGGCCAACUGAUUUUUGACAAGGGUACUCAGUGCAUGCAGUGGGGAAAGAAUAGCCUCUUUCACAAAUCGUUUUGGGAAAACUGGAUACCCACAUGUAGAAGAAUGAAGUUAGACCCUUACCUCAAAGUAUACACAAAAAAGUCAUCUCAAAAUGUAUCAAGGACCUAAAUGUAAGAGUUAAAAAUCAAGCUAAUAGGGGCAAAUCAUGACCUGGCAUGUGGCAAUGGAUUCUGACUCCAAAAAAAAAAACAAGCAACAAAAUCAGAAUUUAU